AGGGCGUUUAGUUGCUGGGUAUAGACCCGAAACCAGGUGAUCUAUCCAUGAGCAGGUUGAAGGUUGGGUAACACUAACUGGAGGACCGAACCGACUAAUGUUGAAAAAUUAGCGGAUGACUUGUGGCUGGGGGUGAAAGGCCAAUCAAACCGGGAGAUAGCUGGUUCUCCCCGAAAGCUAUUUAGGUAGCGCCUCGUGAAUUCAUCUCCGGGGGUAGAGCACUGUUUCGGCAAGGGGGUCAUCCCGACUUACCAACCCGAUGCAAACUGCGAAUACCGGAGAAUGUUAUCACGGGAGACACACGGCGGGUGCUAACGUCCGUCGUGAAGAGGGAAACAACCCAGACCGCCAGCUAAGGUCCCAAAGUCAUGGUUAAGUGGGAAACGAUGUGGGAAGGCCCAGACAGCCAGGAUGUUGGCUUAGAAGCAGCCAUCAUUUAAAGAAAGCGUAAUAGCUCACUGGUCGAGUCGGCCUGCGCGGAAGAUGUAACGGGGCUAAACCAUGCACCGAAGCUGCGGCAGCGACGCUUAUGCGUUGUUGGGUAGGGGAGCGUUCUGUAAGCCUGCGAAGGUGUGCUGUGAGGCAUGCUGGAGGUAUCAGAAGUGCGAAUGCUGACAUAAGUAACGAUAAAGCGGGUGAAAAGCCCGCUCGCCGGAAGACCAAGGGUUCCUGUCCAACGUUAAUCGGGGCAGGGUGAGUCGACCCCUAAGGCGAGGCCGAAAGGCGUAGUCGAUGGGAAACAGGUUAAUAUUCCUGUACUUGGUGUUACUGCGAAGGGGGGACGGAGAAGGCUAUGUUGGCCGGGCGACGGUUGUCCCGGUUUAAGCGUGUAGGCUGGUUUUCCAGGCAAAUCCGGAAAAUCAAGGCUGAGGCGUGAUGACGAGGCACUACGGUGCUGAAGCAACAAAUGCCCUGCUUCCAGGAAAAGCCUCUAAGCAUCAGGUAACAUCAAAUCGUACCCCAAACCGACACAGGUGGUCAGGUAGAGAAUACCAAGGCGCUUGAGAGAACUCGGGUGAAGGAACUAGGCAAAAUGGUGCCGUAACUUCGGGAGAAGGCACGCUGAUAUGUAGGUGAAGCGACUUGCUCGUGGAGCUGAAAUCAGUCGAAGAUACCAGCUGGCUGCAACUGUUUAUUAAAAACACAGCACUGUGCAAACACGAAAGUGGACGUAUACGGUGUGACGCCUGCCCGGUGCCGGAAGGUUAAUUGAUGGGGUUAGCGCAAGCGAAGCUCUUGAUCGAAGCCCCGGUAAACGGCGGCCGUAACAAUAACGGUCCUAAGGUAGCGAAAUUCCUUGUCGGGUAAGUUCCGACCUGCACGAAUGGCGUAAUGAUGGCCAGGCUGUCUCCACCCGAGACUCAGUGAAAUUGAACUCGCUGUGAAGAUGCAGUGUACCCGCGGCAAGACGGAAAGACCCCGUGAACCUUUACUAUAGCUUGACACUGAACAUUGAGCCUUGAUGUGUAGGAUAGGU
rnacentral:rRNA from 1 species